GACGAACGCUGGCGGCGCGCCUAACACAUGCAAGUCGAGCGAGAAAGGUCCUUCGGGGCUGAGUUCAGCGGCGAACGGGUGAGUAACACGUGGGUAACCUGCCUCAGGGAGCGGGACAACCCGGGGAAACUCGGGCUAAUACCGCAUGAUUCGCACGACCCCAAGGUCGUGCGGGAAAAGGUAGCUUCGGCCUUCGCCCUGAGAUGGGCCCGCGGCGCAUUAGCUUGUUGGUGGGGUAACGGCCCACCAAGGCGACGAUGCGUAGCUGGUCUGAGAGGACGAUCAGCCACACUGGGACUGAGACACGGCCCAGACUCCUACGGGAGGCAGCAGUAGGGAAUCUUGCGCAAUGGGCGAAAGCCUGACGCAGCCAUGCCGCGUGAAUGAUGAAGGUCUUAGGAUUGUAAAAUUCUUUCACCGGGGACGAUAAUGACGGUACCCGGAGAAGAAGCUCCGGCUAACUUCGUGCCAGCAGCCGCGGUAAAAC
rnacentral:rRNA from 1 species